rnacentral:rRNA from 1 species
UACGGAGGAUCCGAGCGUUAUCCGGAUUUAUUGGGUUUAAAGGGUGCGUAGGCGGCACUUUAAGUCAGUGGUGAAAGACGGCAGCUUAACUGUCGCAGUGCCUUUGAUACUGAAGUGCUUGAAUGCGGUUGAAGACGGCGGAAUGAGACAAGUAGCGGUGAAAUGCAUAGAUAUGUCUCAGAACACCGAUUGCGAAGGCAGCUGUCUAAGCCGUUAUUGACGCUGAUGCACGAAAGCGUGGGGAUCGAACAGGAUUAGAUACCCUGGUAGUCCACGCCCUAAACGAUGAUAACUCGAUGUUCGCGAUAUAGUGUAAGCGUCCAAGCGAAAGCGUUAAGUUAUCCACCUGGGGAGUACGCCCGCAAGGGUGAA